UCCUGGCUCAGGAUGAACGCUAGCGGCAGGCUUAACACAUGCGAGUCGAGGGGCAGCGGGGAGGAAGCUUGCUUUCUCCGCCGGCGACCGGCGCACGGGUGAGUAACACGUAUGCAACCUGCCCCUGUCAGGGGGACAACCCGCCGAAAGGCGGGCUAAACCCGCGUACAUGCCACCGGGGCAUCCCGGAGGCAGGAAAGGCUUCGGCCGGACAGGGAUGGGCAUGCGGCGCAUUAGGCAGUAGGCGGGGUAACGGCCCACCAAGGCGACGAUGCGUAGGGGUUCUGAGAGGAAGGUCCCCCACACUGGUACUGAGACACGGACCAGACUCCUACGGGAGGCAGCAGUGAGGAAUAUUGGUCAAUGGCCGCAGGGCUGAACCAGCCAAGUCGCGUGAGGGAUGACGGUCCUGUGGAUUGUAAACCUCUUUUGUCAGGGAGCAAAGGGCGUCACGUGUGGCGCUUUGCGAGUACCUGAAGAAAAAGCAUCGGCUAACUCCGUGCCAGCAGCCGCGGUAAUACGGAGGAUGCGAGCGUUAUCCGGAUUUAUUGGGUUUAAAGGGUGCGCAGGCGGAAUGUCAAGUCAGCGGUAAAAUUUCGGGGCUCAACCCCGUCGUGCCGUUGAAACUGGCGUUCUUGAGUGAGCGAGAAGUAUGCGGAAUGCGUGGUGUAGCGGUGAAAUGCAUAGAUAUCACGCAGAACUCCGAUUGCGAAGGCAGUAUACCGGCGCUCAACUGACGCUCAUGCACGAAAGCGUGGGUAUCGAACAGGAUUAGAUACCCUGGUAGUCCACGCAGUAAACGAUGAAUACUAACUGUCCGGGCCGAAUUGAGGUCCUGGGUGGUACAGCGAAAAGCGUUAAGUAUUCCCACCUGGGGAGUACGCCGGCAACGGGUGAAACUCAAAGGAAUUGACGGGGGCCCGCACAAGCGGAGGAACAUGUGGUUUAAUUCGAUGAUACGCGAGGAACCUUACCCGGGCUCAAACGACGGAUGGAUGUUUUGGAAAGAAGGCAGCCCUUCGGGGCAUCCGUCGAGGUGCUGCAUGGUUGUCGUCAGCUCGUGCCGUGAGGUGUCGGCUUAAGUGCCAUAACGAGCGCAACCCCCAUCGCCAGUUACCAGCAAGUAAAGUUGGGGACUCUGGCGAGACUGCCGGCGCAAGCUGUGAGGAAGGCGGGGAUGACGUCAAAUCAGCACGGCCCUUACGUCCGGGGCGACACACGUGUUACAAUGGCAGGUACAGAGAGAAGCGAUGCGGCGACGCAGAGCGGAACUUCAAAGCCUGUCUCAGUUCGGAUUGGAGUCUGCAACCCGACUCCAUGAAGCUGGAUUCGCUAGUAAUCGCGCAUCAGCCACGGCGCGGUGAAUACGUUCCCGGGCCUUGCACUCACCGCCCGUCA
rnacentral:rRNA from 1 species